GCCUUCGUAGUGUAGUGGUCAGCACGCUCGACGCGUAUUCGAGAGGUCCGUAGUUCGAGUCCCGGUGAGGCCA
rfam:Stegodyphus mimosarum contig91108, whole genome shotgun sequence.